rnacentral:rRNA from 1 species
UACGGGGGGAGCAAGCGUUGUUCGGAUUUACUGGGCGUAAAGGGCGCGUAGGCGGCCAGUGCAAGUCAGUUGUGAAAUCUCCGAGCUUAACUCGGAAAGGUCAACUGAUACUGCUCGGCUAGAGUGCGGAAGGGGCAACUGGAAUUCUUGGCGUAGCGGUGAAAUGCGUAGAUAUCAAGAGGAACACCUGCGGCGAAGGCGGGUUGCUGGGCCGACACUGACGCUGAUGCGCGAAAGCUAGGGGAGCGAACGGG